GAGUUGUGUGGUGCCGGCAAGUGGGAAAGGAGUGUUUUGCAGUCACUUGUACGGUCAGCAUUUAACUAGCGUGUGCGUGUUUCGACUCACUGCAAUAAACGGUCUAUGAUCACAUUCCUUGAACGAGGCUGAUAUAUCUAUCGACGGCAGUUAGCCCGGUCGUCGGGACGGGAGUGCCCGGCCUUCGAUCCCAGG